UACAGAGGGGGCGAGCGUUAUUCGGAAUUAUUGGGCGUAAAGGGCGCGUAGGCGGCCGAGCAAGUCUUGGGUGAAAUCCCUCGGCUCAACCGAGGAACUGCCUUGGAAACUGCUCUGGCUUGAGGCCGGGAGAGGGUGGUGGAAUUCCCAGUGUAGCGGUGAAAUGCGUAGAUAUUGGGAGGAACACCAGUGGCGAAGGCGGCCACCUGGACCGGUCCUGACGCUGAGGCGCGAAAGCGUGGGGAGCAAACAGG
rnacentral:rRNA from 1 species